rnacentral:rRNA from 1 species
CCUACGGGAGGCAGCAGUGGGGAAUAUUGGACAAUGGGCGCAAGCCUGAUCCAGCCAUACCGCGUGGGUGAAGAAGGCCUUCGGGUUGUAAAGCCCUUUUGUUGGGAAAGAAAUCCAGCCGGCUAAUACCUGGUUGGGAUGACGGUACCCAAAGAAUAAGCACCGGCUAACUUCGUGCCAGCAGCCGCGGUAAUACGAAGGGUGCAAGCGUUACUCGGAAUUACUGGGCGUAAAGCGUGCGUAGGUGGUUAUUUAAGUCCGUUGUGAAAGCCCUGGGCUCAACCUGGGAACUGCAGUGGAUACUGGAUGACUAGAAUGUGGUAGAGGGUAGCGGAAUUCCUGGUGUAGCAGUGAAAUGCGUAGAGAUCAGGAGGAACAUCCAUGGCGAAGGCAGCUACCUGGACCAACAUUGACACUGAGGCACGAAAGCGUGGGGAGCAAACAGGAUUAGAUACCCUGGUAGUCCACGCCCUAAACGAUGCGAACAGAUGUGGUGNAUUGUCGCGCAGUAUCGAGACGACGACGUAGUUCGUCCGCCGNGGGAGGUACGGUCGGUCGAGACGUUAGUAACGUUACGAAGUAGAAGUUAGACGGCGUUGAGACGNGCCGACGGACGACGACGAGGGAGGAGG